rnacentral:rRNA from 1 species
AUUGAACGCUGGCGGCAUGCCUUACACAUGCAAGUCGAACGGUAACAGGUCUUCGGAUGCUGACGAGUGGCGAACGGGUGAGUAAUACAUCGGAACGUGCCUAGUAGUGGGGGAUAACUACUCGAAAGAGUGGCUAAUACCGCAUGAGAUCUACGGAUGAAAGCGGGGGAUCGCAAGACCUUGUGCUACUAGAGCGGCCGAUGGCAGAUUAGGUAGUUGGUGGGAUAAAAGCUUACCAAGCCGACGAUCUGUAGCUGGUCUGAGAGGACGAUCAGCCACACUGGGACUGAGGAACGGCCCAGACUCCUACGGGAGGCAGCAGUGGGGAAUUUUGGACAAUGGGCGCAAGCCUGAUCCAGCAAUGCCGCGUGCAGGAUGAAGGCCUUCGGGUUGUAAACUGCUUUUGUACGGAACGAAAAGCCCUGGGUUAAUACCCUGGGGUCAUGACGGUACCGUAAGAAUAAGCACCGGCUAACUACGUGCCAGCAGCCGCGGUAAAAC